UCCUACGGGAGGCAGCAGUGGGGAAUCUUGCGCAAUGGGCGAAAGCCUGACGCAGCAACGCCGCGUGGGGGAUGAAGGCCUUCGGGUUGUAAACCUCUUUCACCAUCGACGAAGCCCUUCGGGGUGACGGUAGGUGGGGAAGAAGCACCGGCUAACUCCGUGCCAGCAGCCGCGGUAAU
rnacentral:rRNA from 1 species